UACAGAGGUCUCAAGCGUUGUUCGGAUUCAUUGGGCGUAAAGGGUGCGUAGGUGGUGAUGCAAGUCUGGUGUGAAAUCUCGGAGCUCAACUCCGAAAUUGCACCGGAUACUGCGUGACUCGAGGACUGUAAAGGAGAUCGGAAUUCACGGUGUAGCAGUGAAAUGCGUAGAUAUCGUGAGGAAGACCAGUUGCGAAGGCGGAUCUCUGGGCAGUUCCUGACACUGAGGCACGAAGGCCAGGGGAGCAAACGGG
rnacentral:rRNA from 1 species